rnacentral:rRNA from 1 species
UUAUGGCUCAGAACGAACGCUGGCAGCGUGGAUUAGGCAUGCAAGUCGAACGGGAUCGGGAAGGUAGCAAUAUCGGCCCGUGAGAGUGGCGGAAGGGCGAGGAACACGUGAGCAACCUGUCCUUGAGGUGGGGAAAACCGUUGGAAACGACGGCUAAUACCGAAUGCGGCGCUGGGAGACAUCUUCCAAGCGCUAAAGGGGGCCGCAAGGCUCCCCCUCUUCGAGGGGCUCGCGCACCAUCAGCUUGUUGGCGGGGUAACGGCCCACCAAGGCUCACGGUUAGCUGGUCUGAGAGGAUGGCCAGCCGCACUGGGACUGAGAUACUGCCCAGACUCCUACGGGAGGCUGCAGUCGAGGAUCAUUCGCAAUGGGGGAAACCCUGACGAUGCGACGCUGCGUGGAGGAUGAAGGCCCUCGGGUCGUAAACUCCUGUCAUGGGGAAAAGGCGAGGGGACCCAACACGUCCCUUAGUUGAUGGUACCCCAAGAGGAACGGGCGGCUAACUCUGUGCCAGCCGCAGC